CGACUGCUAAUACCCGAUGUGCCGAAAGGUGAAAGAUUUAUCGUCUGAAGAAGGGCUCGCGGCUGAUUAGCUAGUUGGUAAGGUAAAGGCUUACCAAGGCGACGAUCAGUAACUGGUCUGAGAGGAUGAGCAGUCACACUGGAACUGAGAAACGGUCCAGACUCCUACGGGAGGCAGCAGUGGGGAAUUUUCCGCAAUGGGCGAAAGCCUGACGGAGCAAUACCGCGUGAGGGAGGAAGGUUCUUGGAUUGUAAACCUCUUUUCUAGGGGAAUAAAAAAAUGAAGGUACCCUAGGAAUAAGCAUCGGCUAACUCCGUGCCAGCAGCCGCGGUAAUACGGAGGAUGCAAGCGUUAUCCGGAAUUAUUGGGCGUAAAGGGUCCGUAGGUGGAAGUUCAAGUCUGUCGUUAAAGAAUGGAGCUUAACUCCAUAGAGGCGGUGGAAACUGAACAACUAGAGUGCGGUAGGGGUAACGGGAAUUCCCAGUGUAGCGGUGAAAUGCGUAGAUAUUGGGAAGAACAUCGGUGGCGAAAGCGCGUUACUGGGCCGAAACUGACACUGAGGGACGAAAGCUAGGGUAGCGAAAGGGAUUAGAUACCCCUGUAGUC
rnacentral:rRNA from 1 species